rnacentral:rRNA from 1 species
GCCUACGGGGGGCAGCAGUGGGGAAUAUUGGGCAAUGGGCGCAAGCCUGACCCAGCAACGCCGCGUGAAGGAAGAAGGCUUUCGGGUUGUAAACUUCUUUUAAGAGGGAAGAGCAGAAGACGGUACCUCUUGAAUAAGCCCCGGCUAACUACGUGCCAGCAGCCGCGGUAAUACGUAGGGGGCAAGCGUUAUCCGGAUUUACUGGGUGUAAAGGGAGCGUAGACGGUGAUGCAAGUCAGAAGUGAAAGCCCGCGGCUCAACUGCGGGACUGCUUUUGAAACUGUAUAACUAGAGUGCAGGAGAGG